AUGCUGUGCAAGAACACCAUGGCCUCCCUUGUCUUCCUUGUGGCGCUGUUGCUCUCAUGCAGCUCCAUGAGCAGUGCAACACGGCACCUAGAGGAGGCUGUGCCCAAGGAGGAGUAUCAACCACAUCUGAUCGUCCCGGAGCUGCCAAAGCCCCAACUCCCGCCGCACCCUGCCAUGCCUGAGCUGCCCAAGCCUGAACUACCGCAUCCUCUUGCACCCGAAGUGCCACACCCCGUGGUGCCUGAGACACCAAAGGAGACUGAAGUGCCACACCCCGCGGUGCCGGAGGUGCCAAAGCACGAGUUGCCACCACACCCUGCUGAGCUCCCCAAGCCUGAACUGCAGCAUCCGGCUGUGCCGGAGACGCCAAAGGAGCCUGAAGUGCCACACCCCAAGGUGCCGGAGGUGCCGAACACUACACCACAACACUCGAUUGGGGGCAUGGAAGCAUGA
rnacentral:rRNA from 1 species